rnacentral:rRNA from 1 species
UGGGGAAUUUUGGACAAUGGGCGAAAGCCUGAUCCAGCAAUGCCGCGUGUGUGAAGAAGGCCUUCGGGUUGUAAAGCACUUUUGUCCGGAAAGAAAUCCUUGGCUCUAAUACAGUCGGGGGAUGACGGUACCGGAAGAAUAAGCACCGGCUAACUACGUGCCAGCAGCCGCGGUAAUACGUAGGGUGCAAGCGUUAAUCGGAAUUACUGGGCGUAAAGCGUGCGCAGGCGGUUUGCUAAGACCGAUGUGAAAUCCCCGGGCUCAACCUGGGAACUGCAUUGGUGACUGGCAGGCUAGAGUAUGGCAGAGGGGGGUAGAAUUCCACGUGUAGCAGUGAAAUGCGUAGAGAUGUGGAGGAAUACCGAUGGCGAAGGCGAGCCCCCUGGGCCAAUACUGACGCUCAUGCACGAAAGCGUGGGGGAGCAAACAGGAUUAGAUACCCUGGUAGUCCACGCCCUAAACGAUGUCAACUAGUUGUUGGGGAUUCAUUCCUUAGUAACGUAGCUAACGCGUGAAGUUGA